AGUGAACGCUGGCGGUAGGCCUAACACAUGCAAGUCGAACGGCAGCACAGUAAGAGCUUGCUCUUACGGGUGGCGAGUGGCGGACGGGUGAGGAAUACAUCGGAAUCUACUUUUUCGUGGGGGAUAACGUAGGGAAACUUACGCUAAUACCGCAUACGACCUACGGGUGAAAGCAGGGGAUCUUCGGACCUUGCGCGAUUGAAUGAGCCGAUGUCGGAUUAGCUAGUUGGCGGGGUAAAGGCCCACCAAGGCGACGAUCCGUAGCUGGUCUGGGAGGAUGAUCAGCCACACUGGAACUGAGACACGGUCCAGACUCCUACGGGAGGCAGCAGUGGGGAAUAUUGGACAAUGGGCGAAAGCCUGAUCCAGCCAUACCGCGUGGGUGAAGAAGGCCUUCGGGUUGUAAAGCCCUUUUGUUGGGAAAGAAAAGCAGCAGGUUAAUACCCCGCUGUUCUGACGGUACCCAAAGAAUAAGCACCGGCUAACUUCGUG
rnacentral:rRNA from 1 species